rnacentral:misc_RNA from 1 species
AAAGUCGUAACAAGGUCUCCGUAGGUGAACCUGCGGAGGGAUCAUUACCGAGUUCGUGCCCUUCGGGGUAGACCUCCCACCCUGUGUUAUCACUACCUUUGUUGCUUUGGCGGGCCGUCAGGCCUCGGCCUGGCUACCGGCUUCCGCUGGUACGCGCCCGCCAGAGGACCCAAACCCUAAAUAUUAGUGUCGUCUGAGUACUAUAUAAUAGUUAAAACUUUCAACAACGGAUCUCUUGGUUCUG